UUCCUGGUGGCUCAAAUGGUAAAUAAUCUGCCUGCAAUGCAGGAAACUUGGGUUCAAUUCCUGGUCAGGAAG
rnacentral:tRNA from 1 species